AACGAACGCUGGCGGCGUGCCUAACACAUGCAAGUCGAACGUGAUUGAGAGCUUGCUCUCAUGAAAGUGGCGCACGGGUGAGGAACGCGUAGAUAAUCUACCUGGUGAUCCGGGAUAACACCUCGAACGGGGUGCUAAUACCUGAUAAGCCCACGGGGUCUUCGGACUCUGCGGGAAAAGGGGCGGACAUUUAGGCCUUCCGUCAUCAGAUGAGUCUGCGGAGCAUUAGCUAGUUGGUAGGGUAAAGGCCUACCAAGGCGACGAUGGUUAGCUGGUCUGAGAGGAUGAUAAGCCACACUGGAACUGAGACACGGUCCAGACUCCUACGGGAGGCAGCAGUGGGGAAUUUUGCGCAAUGGGGGAAACCCUGACGCAGCAACGCCGCGUGAGUGAUGAAGGCCCUUGGGUCGUAAAGCUCUGACAGAGGGAAAGAAGUGCAGGGGAGCUAAUAUCUCCUUUGCUUGACGGUACCCUCAAAGGAAGCACCGGCUAACUCCGUGCCAGCCGCCGCCGUAAUAC
rnacentral:rRNA from 1 species